GCUACUUUCCCUUGCCCUAUGACUAAAUAACACAGUUCUUCUCUAGCUCUUUUGUAGGUCAUCUUAAGGAACUGGAAGGAGCUCCAAGGUCUCCCUGCAGCCUUCUCUUUCCCAGGCUGAACAGACCCAGCUCUCCCAGGCUGUUUUCACAGGAUGGAGCUCUAGCCCUUUGAUCAUCUCUCUGGCCUCCUCUGGGCUCACUGGGAAGAAUGCUGGAGUGGUUCAAGGAUUUUAAUGCUAACAAGAC
rnacentral:lncRNA from 1 species